GACGAACGCUGGCGGCGUGCUUAACACAUGCAAGUCGAACGGAAAGGCCCUGCUUUUGUGGGGUGCUCGAUUGGCGAACGGGUGAGUAACACGUGAGUAACCUGCCCUUGACUUUGGGAUAACUUCAGGAAACUGGGGCUAAUACCGGAUAGGAGCUCCUGCUGCAUGGUGGGGGUUGGAAAGUUUCGGCGGUUGGGGAUGGACUCGCGGCUUAUCAGCUUGUUGGUGGGGUAGUGGCUUACCAAGGCUUUGACGGGUAGCCGGCCUGAGAGGGUGACCGGCGACAAUGGGACUGAGAGACGGCCCAGACGCCAACGGGAGGCAGCAGUGGGGAAUAUUGCACAAUGGGAGGAAGCCUGAUGCAGCAACGCAGCGAGCGGGAUGACGGCCUUCGGGUUGUAAACCGCUUUCGCAUGUGAAGAAGAGUGAGUGACGGUAAUGGGUAAAGAAGCACCGGCUAACUACGUG
rnacentral:rRNA from 1 species